rnacentral:misc_RNA from 1 species
GAUGAAGAACGUAGCGAAAUGCGAUAAGUAAUGUGAAUUGCAGAAUUCAGUGAAUCAUCGAAUCUUUGAACGCACAUUGCGCCCCCUGGUAUUCCGGGGGGCAUGCCUGUUCGAGCGUCAUUUCACCACUCAAGCCUCGCUUGGUAUUGGGCAACGCGGUCCGCCGCGUGCCUCAAAUCGACCGGCUGGGUCUUCUGUCCCCUAAGCGUUGUGGAAACUAUUCGCUAAAGGGUGUUCGGGAGGCUACGCCGUAAAACAACCCCAUGUCUAAGGUUGACCUCGGAUCAGGUAGGGAUACCCGCUGAACUUAAGCAUAUCAAUAAGCGGAGGA